rnacentral:tRNA from 3 species
GAGAAUGUGGUGUAACGGUAGCACAAGAAGGAACCGAAGGUGCAGGUUCGAAUCCUGCCAUUCUCGCAA